GCAUUUUUCCAUAUACAAGUUGCUCAAUUACUAAAUAUGCUUGCUUUUGACAUUUACAGAACGAUCCUGAUUAUUGGUUACUAUCAGAUGCUGAUAUAAGUAUUACUGACAUGUGGAGGACAGAUCCUGGGGUUAACUGGGAAAGCUUGAGCACAGUUCUUGAAGACUAUGCCUUGCCUAAUGUUAGCGUACCACCAGCCCAAAAUCCACAGCUUGAACCAACUGAAACACCUUCUAUAGCUAAGACAGCGGGGGGUUCAAGUGGAUUUGGUGGUGAUCCUCGAUGAAGAUACUCAUGGUCGUUGUAAAAGAGGAAGAUGCUGGAAGGCUGUACAAGGAGUGCCUAAAUCAUUUCUCGUGCUAUGCUAUCUACUUUAAAAUUACCUCGAAGUCGCCUUGGAGUUAAACCUUGAUCCUUAAAAAAUCGACGAGGCACCAGAGUCGAGAGAAGUGGAUCAUUGUAUAAUAUUUGCUUAGGUAAUUCCUGUAAUGGCAAUAAUGUUUCUGUCAAGAUUUACUCCCUGCAUAUCAUCAAAUUUGUUGUGGCAUCUUGUCAUUUCAUUUAGAUAUGCUGUUGUCUAUAACAUCCUUCAAAAUUAGAUGCAGGUUAAGUUCCCUUUUUGGUAUACAGUAAUAUGUCCUAUUGUUA